AAUGAUACUUCUGCUAAGUCCUAACUCACAUCUGGAUAGCAGCCCGGCAAAGCGACCGGGGAAACGCCCGCCGUAUUUGCGAAAGAAUACGGAGUGGAUUUC
rnacentral:sRNA from 12 species